AUUUUAUUAGCUUAAGUUAAGAGUUUUGUAUUGAAGAUACACAGGUGGAUUUAUUCCUUAAAAUA
rnacentral:tRNA from 1 species